CCGAAAUAUCACUUACUCGAACUGUCCUGACCGCGUAGCUCAGUUGGCAGAGCAUUGGGCUAGUAUUCCAAAGGUCGUAGGUUCGAUUCCCACCGUGGCCGGGCAUAUUUUUCAAGCUCGCCCGGUGUGGAUAUACACUCAGAGUAACAUCACAAGCAUCAUAUUAUUCAUAGGAUUCAAACAGCCAAUCAAUUUUAAGAAAUAUGUGAUAUGGCAAACGAGAAAAAACAAAAAAUUUACAUGUCAUGAAUGAUUUAAAAUUAAGCAUUUUUUGCGCAUAAAAACAACAAAUAUGGAUAGCUACAGAACACCGCGGGAACACGCCUGCGCAUGCGUGGGGCACAAAAAAGAUGGCGAGGAAUUUUAAUGCCAAAUUGUAAACAAAAGCAUGGCUAUUUAGUGAUUUACGGUAUUUGAAACAAACAAAAAAUACACUAGACGGGCAGCAGUUUAUAGACAUGAAUAAAAAGUUAGUUCAUCAUUUUUUAAAUUUUAAAUCACGCGUUUGAUUUCAGUCCAAUUUGCACUCCACUCAGUUCAAUUACCAUUAUUAAUUAUGGCGUCUGCUGUUCGUGCUUCACAUCAAGAAUGACAGUCAAUGCGGAUUUACGUUCGUGAUUUCAAACAAGAUCGAUUGAACGACUUUCUUUUUUUUUAAAGAACGGCUGUCGCCAUCUCACUUUACUUCCGGUCGACCUUCGUGAAUACGCUUGUUAAUCUAUAGUAAAGGCGGUUUUCCACUGGGCGAAAUAUUUCGACCGAAUCGAAAUUUUCUUUUGUCUUACAACCAAUCAGAUGGAACUAAACAGAAAUCUUUUGAAUUUGAACAAUAGAAAUUUCGGUUCGAUCGAAAAAUCCCAUCUAGUGGAAAACCACCUUGAUGCAUUAUCAACCACGCGUACCCAGGAUUUUCCCUCUACGCUGCUACCAUACAAGGUUGACAUUAUUUCUUUUUUUAUUUUUAGCGCUUGGUGGUGACACAAAACCUGUUGACACUUCUGUUAGUGACACAAAGACACAAAUAGGAUUCACGCUGCCAAGCAUAGGUCCUGAAGAAAUAAGACAAAUUAUG